rnacentral:rRNA from 1 species
UGAGGAACAUGACCUUCGGCGGGGGAUAGCCGGCCCAACGGCCGGGUAAUACCGCGUACGACCUUUCGGGGACAUCCCCGGAUGGUGAAAGCAGCAAUGCGCCGAUGGAGUGCCUCGCGGCCUAUCAGCUAGUUGGUGAGGUAACGGCUCACCAAGGCAACGACGGGUAGCUGGUCUGAGAGGAUGGCCAGCCACAUUGGGAACUGAGACACGGCCAGACUCCUACGGGGAGGNAGCG